AGCUCUGGUUCAGUCUCUCCUGCAGAUGCAGCAAGCUGCUGGCUGGGACUAUGGUCAUCUGAAGACAGGGCUGGAUCUAUUGGUAGUUGGUCCCAGUUCCUUGCAGGGUCUUAGGAGAAGCUCCUUACCAUGCAGGCAUCUCCACAGGUUGGCUCUAAGGACCCAUUAAGCAGCAUCGAUGCCUCCAGGGAUCAAACAAUCAAUCACUUCUUUCUCUGAAAUGGGGCCAGACUGAUCACACAUUUUGUUCUGCUUGAUGAAGUCUAUGGCUGCGGAGCCAGCACACACAUGAUAAAAAUACCUUCCAACUGAUA